rnacentral:rRNA from 1 species
GGGUUGUGAGGUUAAGCGACUAAGCGUACACGGUGGAUGCCCUGGCAGUCAGAGGCGAUGAAGGGCGUGCUAAUCUGCGAUAAGCGCCGGUAAGGUGAUAUGAACCGUUAUAACCGACGAUACCCGAAUGGGGAAACCCAGUGUGACUCGUCACACUAUCAUUAACUGAAUCCAUAGGUUAAUGAGGCGAACCGGGGGAACUGAAACAUCUAAGUACCCCGAGGAAAAGAAAUCAACCGAGAUUCCCCCAGUAGCGGCGAGCGAACGGGGAGGAGCCCAGAGCCUGAAUCAGCAUGUGUGUUAGUGGAAGCGUCUGGAAAGGCGCGCGAUACAGGGUGACAGCCCCGUACACAAAAGCGCAUGUGCUGUGAGCUCGAUGAGUAGGGCGGGACACGUGGUAUCCUGUCUGAAUAUGGGGGGACCAUCCUCCAAGGCUAAAUACUCCUGACUGACCGAUAGUGAACCAGUACCGUGAGGGAAAGGCGAAAAGAACCCCGGCGAGGGGAGUGAAAAAGAACCUGAAACCGUGUACGUACAAGCAGUGGGAGCACAGGUUUACCUGUGUGACUGCGUACCUUUUGUAUAAUGGGUCAGCGACUUAUAUUCUGUAGCAAGGUUAACCGAAUAGGGGAGCCGCAGGGAAACCGAGUCUUAAUUGGGCGUUAAGUUGCAGGGUAUAGACCCGAAACCCGGUGAUCUAGCCAUGGGCAGGUUGAAGGUUGGGUAACACUAACUGGAGGACCGAACCGACUAAUGUUGAAAAAUUAGCGGAUGACCUGUGGCUGGGGGUGAAAGGCCAAUCAAACCGGGAGAUAGCUGGUUCUCCCCGAAAGCUAUUUAGGUAGCGCCUCGUGAAUUCAUCUCCGGGGGUAG